UUCUGGCCAAUCUCUCGAAAAUUCAUUAAGUCAUUGUUUUGUUCUUGGCUUGGAAUUUGAUUAGUGAAAGGAUUUAUCAGUAGAACUUGGUGCUGGAAAUUGUCUAGAAUUCGAGCUCUGUGUGCUGUUUUACAAGACUUGUUGAUUAGCAUUUCAUGAGCCUCAUCAAUUCCAACUGAAUGCCAUUGCCGCCCUUGUAUAUUUACCACAAAGGCACCUUGAUUAAAGAAAGCAAAGGUGAUGUGACGUCUUUUUGAGGAGAUGGAAAAGGUGAUAGUCUCUCAUUUCUUUUGUGUAAUAUUCCAUUGUCUCUGGACUCAGAAGUCUCCAUUUCCUCUUCUUGUAACUCCAUUGCUAAUGAUUCGAAACCUGAUAGCGUAUAUAGCGUUGCAGCACAUCAAUAGAAGAGCAUACACCGAUUCGGUUUAAGAUUCUAAUAAGUAGCUGUGAGCCACCUUGACUUUGAAUAAUGUCGGUUAAUAAUGUGUGUAAUGGCAUGGAACAACGAUUGUCUGUGCAGAAUAAAACAGCACACAAAAUAAAGAAACACUUAAUUUGUUUGACUUUAUAGGUAUACUGAAGAUUGAUUGGUGACAGUUGACUUUUCUUUGCGUUCUACAGAUGAUUUGGAUUUGGACAAAAUCUAGGUUUUGUUAUCCUAAGUGAUGAACUGCAAGUUAUGCAGGAUUUCUGAACUUGGUUAUGAAUUUGAUAAUCUGUUUGGUAAUGCUCCUCACAGAAGGGUGUUUGGAUCAGAAUGGUAUCGUAUUUACACCUUAGAUCUGCCACUGACAAUAGUCUCUCCAUAUCUGACCAUUUGCUGUUGUGUUUUGAGUUGUUGGCACUUUGAUGUAUGCAGCAUGGAGAUAUUGUGACCUUUUUCUUUUUCCAGUUCGGUAUUACAUCUUCAUUCCUCAGCAGCUUACCGAUGUCUCUCCUGCACUGACUACAAAUGGAUGUAGCAUCUGUCAAAUGUAGCUGGGUGAUGGCAUAGUCUCUUGCUUUUUCAUCAGACCACUGA